CCACAUGGGUUUCUUUAUAAAAGUCUAAGGAAGUUUUCCUUUUAAAAAGACAUCUAAGUCUUUUAUUUUUUAUUGGGCCGAAUUUUGGCUCAAAGAAGGCUGGGCCUUGUACAAGUUGCUUGACCUUGGGCCGAAUUUUGGCUUAGGCAGCUCUUCUUGGGCCGGUUUUGGAUUAAAUUUGGGCUGAGUUUUGAUUUAAAAAUUGUGCCCGGUUUUAACAAGGUAAAAACCGUUACCGAACCGGCUAAUCGAUUCGGUAUACCGAUUUAACCGGUUCCGGUUUCGGUACCCUAUGUUGGGUACUAUCGGUAUUCGGUCCGGUCUGGUUCGGUUCGGACCGGUCCGGUCCGGUUUUUUACCGAUGUGCACCCCUACUCGUAGGCCCUCGAUUGUCGUCUACACCUCGUAGGCCCUCGAUUGUCGCCUACACCUCGUAGGCCCUCGAUUGAUGCCUACACCUCGUAGGCCCUCAAUUGAUGCCUACACCACUUAGUCCCUCGAUUGAUGCCUACACCACUUAGUCCCUCGAUUGAUGCCUACACCACUUAGUCCCUCGAUUGCCGCCUACCCCUCAUAGGCCCCGCCUACAUCUCGUAGGCGCUCGAUUUCCGCCUACAUCUCAUAGGCGCUCGAUUUUCGCCUACACAUCGUAUGCGCUCUAUUUCCGCCUACACCUCGUAGGCUCUUGAUUUUCGCCUAUACAUCGUAGGCCCUCGAUUACUGCGUACACUUCGUAUGCCUCUAUUGUCCCCUACACCUCGUAGGCCAUCGAUUGUCGUUUACACCUCGUAGGCCCUCGAUUGUCGCCUACACCUCGUAGGCCUCGAUAAUCGCCUACACCUUGUAGGCCCUCAAUUGAUGCCUACCCCACUUAGUCCCUUGAUUGCCGCCUACCCCUCGUAGGCCCUCGAUUGCCGUCUACCCCUUAUAGGCCUUCAAUUUUCGCCUACAUCUCGUAGACGCUUGAUUUCCGCCUACAUCUCGUAGGCGCUCGAUUUUUGCCUACACCUCGUACGCGCUCUAUUUCCGCCUACACCUCGUACGCCCUCGAUUAUCGCCUACACCUCGUAGGCCCUCGAUUAUCACCUACACCUCGUAGGCCCUCGAUAAUCGCCUACACCUCGUAGGCCUCGAUAAUCGCCUACACCUCGUAGACCCUCUAUUUCCUCCUACACCUCGUAAGAUUGAGUUUAUCGCUUACACCUCGUAGGCUCUCGAUUGCCGCCUAUACCUUGUAGGCCCUCGAUUGCCGCUUAGACCUAGUAGAUCCUCAAUUGCCGCCUACACCUCCCUCGAUUUCCGCCUACACCUCGUAGGCCCUCGAUUGUCGCCUACACCUCAUAGUCUCUCGAUUGCCGCCUACACACCUCGCAGGCCCUCAAUUGUCGCCUACACCUCGUAGGUCCUCGAUUGUCGCUUACACCUCGUAGGUCCUCGAUUUUUGCCUACACCUCAUAGGCCCUCGAUUUUUGCCUAUCUCUCAUAGGCACCCGAUUGUCGUUACACCUUGUAGGCCCUCGAUUGCCGACUACACCUCGUAGGUCCUCGAUUGCCGACUACACCUCGUAGGCUCUCGUUUGCCGCCUACACUUCGUACGCCCUCGAUUUUUGCCUACCCUUCGUAGGCCCUCGGAUACUGCCUACAUCUCGUAAGCCCUUGGUUACCGUCUACACCUUGUAGGCCGUCGAUUUCCGCCUACACCUCGUAGGCCCUCGAUUUCCGCCUACAUCUAGUAGGCCCUCGAUUGAUGCGUACACCUCGUACGUCUCUAUUGUCGCCUACACCUCGUAGGCCCUCGAUUGAUGCCUACACCUCGUAGGCCCUCAAUUGAUGCCUACACCACUUAGUCCCUCGAUUGAUGCCUACACCACUUAGUCCCUCGAUUGCUGCCUACCCCUCGUAGGCCCCGCCUACCCCUCGUAGGCCCCGCCUACAUCUUGUAGGCGCUUGAUUUCUGCCUACAUCUUGUAAGCGCUCGAUUUCCGCCUUCACCUCGUAUGUGCUCUAUUUUCGCCUACACCUCGUAGGCUCUUGAUUUCCGCCUAUACCUCGUAGGCCUUCGAUUACUGCGUACACUUCGUACGCCUCUAUUGUCGCCUACACCUCGUAGGCCAUCGAUUGUCGUUUACACCUCGUAGACCCUCGAUUGUCGCCUACACCUCGUAGGCUUCGAUAAUCGCCUACACCUCGUAGGCCCUCAAUUGAUGCCUACCCCACUUAGUCCCUCGAUUGCCGCCUACCCCUCGUAAGUCCUCGAUUGCCGUCUACCCCUUGUAGGCCUUCAAUUUCCGCCUACAUCUCGUAGGCGCUCAAUUUUUGCCUACACCUCGUACUAGCUCUAUUUCCGCCUACACCUCGUAGGCCCUUGAUUAAUGCGUACACCUCGUACGCCUCUAUUGUCGCCUACAUCUCGUUAGUCCUCGAUUAUUGCCUACACCUCGUAGGCCCUCGAUAAUCGCCUACACCUCGUAGGCCUCGAUAAUCGCCUACACCUCGUAGACCCUCUAUUUCCUCCUACACUUCGUAGGAUCGAGUUUAUCGCUUACACCUCGUAGGCUCUCGAUUGCCGCCUAUACCUUGUAGGCCCUCGAUUGCCGCUUACACCUAGUAGGUCUUCGAUUGCCGCCUACACAUAGUAGGCCCUCGAUUUUCGCCUACACCUCGUAGGCCCUCGAUUGUCGCCUACACCUCGUUGUCUCUCGAUUGCCGCCUACACACCUCGUAGGCCCUCAAUUGUCGCCUACACCUCGUAAGUCCUCGAUUGUCGCUUACACCUCGUAGGUCCUCGAUUUUCGCCUACACCUUGUAGGCCCUCAAUUUUCACCUAUCUCUCAUAGGCACUCGAUUGUCGUCUACACCUUGUAGGCCCUCGAUUGCCGACUACACCUCGUAGGCCUUGAUUGUCGCCUACACCUCGUAGACCCUCAAUUACUGCCCACACCUCAUUGGCCCUCAAUUGUCGUCUACCCCUCGUAGGCCCUCGAGUACCGCCUACACCUCUUAUUCCCUCGAUAGUCGCCUGCGCUCG
rnacentral:lncRNA from 1 species